rnacentral:rRNA from 1 species
UGCCAGCAGCCGCGGUAAUACGGAGGGUGCAAGCGUUAUCCGGAUUUACUGGGUUUAAAGGGUGCGUAGGCGGUUUUUUAAGUCAGUGGUGAAAGCCUGGCGCUUAACGCCAGAAUUGCCAUUGAUACUGAAAAACUUGAGUCAAGAAGAGGUAAGUAGAAUUCAUGGUGUAGCGGUGAAAUGCUUAGAUAUCAUGAGGAAUUCCAAUAGCGAAGGCAGCUUACUGGUCUUUGACUGACGCUGAGGCACGAAAGCGUGGGGAGCAAACAGGAUUAGAUA